AUACUCACCUGGCAGGGGAGGUACCAUGAUCACAAAGGUGGUUUUCCCAGGGCGAGGCUUAUCCAUGGCCCUCCGAUGUGCUGACCCCUACGAUUUCCCCAAAUGUGGGAGACUCGAUUGCAUAAUUUGUGGUAGUGGGGGACUGCGUUUGCGCUCUCCCCUA
ensembl:snRNA U1 U1 spliceosomal RNA